CAGUCGCCGCGGGAAUAUGAAGGGGGCUAGCGUUGUUCGGAAUUACUGGGCGUAAAGCGCACGUAGGCGGAUAUUUAAGUCAGGGGUGAAAUCCCAGAGCUCAACUCUGGAACGGCCUUUGAUACUGGGUAUCUUGAGUAUGGAAGAGGUGAGUGGAAUUCCGAGUGUAGAGGUGAAAUUCGUAGAUAUUCGGAGGACCACCAGUGGCGAAGGCGGCUCACUGGUCCAUUACUGACGCUGAGGUGCGAAAGCGUGGGGAGCAAACAGGAUUAGAUACCCCAGUAGUCCCUGUCUCUUAUAA
rnacentral:rRNA from 1 species